GAUUAACGCUAGCGGCAGGCCUAAUACAUGCAAGUCGAACGGCAGCGGGUGUAGCAAUACAUGCCGGCGAGUGGCGCACGGGUGCGUAACGCGUAUGCAAUCUACCUAUAACUGGGGAAUAGCCUUCCGAAAGGAAGAUUAAUACCGCAUAACAUCACGGAACGGCAUCGUUUUGUGAUCAAAACUCAGGUGGUUAUAGAUGAGCAUGCGUGACAUUAGCUAGUUGGUGAGGUAACGGCUCACCAAGGCGACGAUGUCUAGGGGGUCUGAGAGGAUGAUCCCCCACACUGGUACUGAGACACGGACCAGACUCCUACGGGAGGCAGCAGUAAGGAAUAUUGGACAAUGGCCGCAAGGCUGAUCCAGCCAUGCCGCGUGAAGGAUGAAGGUGCUAUGCAUUGUAAACUUCUUUUUGUCCCGGAAUAAACCCCUGAUUUCUAUCGGGGCUGAAUGUACGGGAAGAAUAAGGGACGGCUAACUUCGUG
rnacentral:rRNA from 1 species